AUGUUUCAAGUUGGGGAUUCCGUGUUGCUCAAACUUCAACCUUAUGCUCAGUCUACAGUCGUGAAUCGUCCUUGUCCCAAAUUAUCCUUCAAGUUUUUUGGCCCUUUCAAAAUUCUGGCCCAAAUUGGUGCUGUGGCGUAUAGAUUGGAGCUUCCCGAUGGAUGUCAAGUUCAUCCUGUUUUUCAUGUUUCUCAACUCAAAGCAUUCAAUCCCAGUUAUGCUCCUACUUUUCAAGCCAUGCCACCUCCUCAAGCUCUGCUGGACUCUGCUUCACGACCUUUGGCAAUUCUACAGCGCCGGAUGGUUCAACAAGGUAAUGCAGCAGCUCCACAAGUGCUCAUUCAGUGGUCUAGUUUGCCUGAAGACUGUGCAACCUGGGAAGAUUAUUAUGUGCUGCGCCAGCGUUUCCCUGACGCUGCCAUUUGGGAAGGCGAUCGAGCUCAAGAGGGGAAAGAUGUCAUGCAUUCAGAUCCUUGA
rnacentral:rRNA from 1 species